rnacentral:misc_RNA from 1 species
CUAAGGAAUAAAACGGAAACCUACACAUUGUGGAAACUUUGUUUAGUUUUGAGAGGUUUACUCUCAAGCUUGCACUUUGAAAACUAAAUAAUAUCAAUUUUCUUUAUUAAUUAACAAAACAAACCGAGACACCGCGUUAUUUUGAGUUUUUUAGAAAUUAAUCGCUAACUCAAUUAAUCGGAUAAUCACGAAGUGAUUAUCAA